rnacentral:lncRNA from 1 species
CAGGAUGGUGGUGACAUUGCUCAUAUCAGCUCUUGAGUCCAUGGAUCAUGGCACAAGUUGCAGUUUCCACCCUGCCCAUUGAAGAUGAGGAGUUUGUUGAAGAUGAGGAGUCCUUGGAGAGCAGGAUGGUGGUGACAUUCCUAAUGUCAGCUCUCGAGUCCACGGUCAGACCUUCUGUUCUCACAUUCUGUAGUUUGGUAGGACUGGGCAGUAGAUAAGGUUGAUUUAUUUUUGUAGAACUUACAAUUUUAUGAUUUUCAGUUGUAAUGAGUAGACCUUUUUCGUGAAUAGUAGUUAUGGUUAAACACCUCUAACCAAAUGUGCAUGUGGAGUUUCUACACUGAUUUUCAGACAAUCUGGAUCCCAACUGGGUAUCCCACAAUUCCAUCCUGACACUCCCUGGAGUUAGUGCAGACCCCGCAGGAUGGGGUCUCAGUCCCAGGAGUCUACCCUCACUCCACAUGCCAAUUGCAAGUCUUGGGUUGUUACAUGUAGUUUUGACCGACCAGUUAGAAAACAGGGUUUCAUGACCCCAUUGCUGGGUGGAAUCAUUUGCUCGGACAGCUUGCAGAACUCAGAAAAACAGGUUGUUUUUUUUUUUUUCUGAGAUACAGGGUCUCAGUCUAUUGCCAGACUGGAAUGCAGUGGUGUGAUCAAAGCUCACUGUAGCAUGGGACUCCUGGGCUCAAGUGAUCCUCCCACCUCA